rnacentral:tRNA from 1 species
GCCUCCGUAGCUCAGUGGAUAGAGCGCCAGUUUCCGGUACUGGAAGUCAGGAGUUCGACUCUCCUCGGGGGCA